GUGGGGAAUCUUGCGCAAUGGGCGAAAGCCUGACGCAGCCAUGCCGCGUGAAUGAUGAAGGUCUUAGGAUUGUAAAAUUCUUUCACCGGGGACGAUAAUGACGGUACCCGGAGAAGAAGCUCCGGCUAACUUCGUGCCAGCAGCCGCGGUAAUACGAAGGAGGCUAGCGUUGCUCGGAAUUACUGGGCGUAAAGGGCGCGUAGGCGGACAGCUUAGUCAGAGGUGAAAGCCCAGGGCUCAACCUUGGAAUUGCCUUUGAUACUGGCUGUCUUGAGUUUGGGAGAGGUGAGUGGAACUCCGAGUGUAGAGGUGAAAUUCGUAGAUAUUCGGAAGAACACCAGUGGCGAAGGCGACUCACUGGCCCAAUACUGACGCUGAGGCGCGAAAGCGUGGGGAGCAAACAGGAUUAGAAACCCGUGUAGUCC
rnacentral:rRNA from 1 species